rnacentral:rRNA from 1 species
GUCGAGAAUCUUUCACAAUGGGGGCAACCCUGAUGGAGCGACGCCGCGUGGAGGAUAAGGUCUUCGGAUUGUAAACUCCUGUCAUGCGUGAACAAGGUUGCUUGGUUAAUACCUGGGCAAAUUGAUGGUAACGCAAGAGGAAGAGACGGCUAACUCUGUGCCAGCAGCCGCGGUAAUACAGAGGUCUCAAGCGUUGUUCGGAAUCACUGGGCGUAAAGGGUGCGUAGGUGGCGUGGUAAGUCAGAUGUGAAAGCCCGGGGCUCAACCUCGGAACUGCAUCCGAUACUGCCAUGCUAGAGUACUGGAGAGGUGACUAGAAUUCUCGGUGUAGCAGUGAAAUGCGUAGAUAUCGAGAGGAAGACCAAAGGCGUAGGCAGGUCACUGGACAGUUACUGACACUGAGGCACGAAGGCCAGGGGAGCGAACGGGAUUAGAUACCCGAGUAGUCC